AGAGCGAACGCUGGCGGCAGGCCUAACACAUGCAAGUCGAACGGACCCUUCGGGGUUAGUGGCGGACGGGUGAGUAACACGUGGGAACGUGCCUUUUGGUUCGGAAUAGCUCCUGGAAACGGGUGGUAAUGCCGAAUGUGCCCUUCGGGGGAAAGAUUUAUCGCCAUUAGAGCGGCCCGCGUCUGAUUAGCUAGUUGGUGAGGUAAUGGCUCACCAAGGCGACGAUCAGUAGCUGGUCUGAGAGGAUGACCAGCCACAUUGGGACUGAGACACGGCCCAAACUCCUACGGGAGGCAGCAGUGGGAAUCUUGCGCAAUGGGCGAAAGCCUGACGCAGCCAUGCCGCGUGAAUGAUGAAGGUCUUAGGAUUGUAAAAUUCUUUCACCGGGACGAUAAUGACGGUACCGGAGAAGAAGCCCGCUAACUCGCGCCAGCAGCCGC
rnacentral:rRNA from 1 species